CCUACGGGAGGCAGCAGUGGGGAAUAUUGGACAAUGGGGGGAACCCUGAUCCGGCCAUGCCGCGUGUGUGAAGAAGGCCCUCGGGUUGUAAAGCACUUUCAGUGAGGAAGAACGCCUGGUGGUUAAUACCCAUCAGGAAAGACAUCACUCACAGAAGAAGCACCGGCUAACUCCGUGCCAGCAGCCGCGGUAAUACGGAGGGUGCGAGCGUUAAUCGGAAUUACUGGGCGUAAAGCGCGCGUAGGUGGCUUGAUAAGCCGGUUGUGAAAGCCCCGGGCUCAACCUGGGAACGGCAUCCGGAACUGUCAAGCUAGAGUGCAGGAGAGGAAGGUAGAAUUCCCGGUGUAGCGGUGAAAUGCGUAGAGAUCGGGAGGAAUACCAGUGGCGAAGGCGGCCUUCUGGACUGACACUGACACUGAGGUGCGAAAGCGUGGGUAGCAAACAGGAUUAGAUACCCCAGUAGUC
rnacentral:rRNA from 1 species